UUCACAUACUUUUUAUUUGAAAUGGGAGGGGGUAGAGCGAUUCUUCUCAAUUUUGUUUUGAAUGAAAUCCUUAUUUUCUUCCUAACUUUCUUGAAGAGGUAUAAUAAGGUUUGGAAAAAGAUUAUUCAGAUUCAUAAGAGAUUAUCAUGGGGUAGUUUGGAUGGUAAAUUUAAGACCCUUUGGUUUAAAUGGGUUGGUGUUGUAAAACCUAAGAAAAAUGAUGGUCUUGUAAUUCGUAAUUUUCACCUAGCUAACCUAGCUCUUCUUGUUAAUUGGUGGUGGGAAUCGCUCUCAGGUGUGAUUAGUCUUUGGAGGGAUAUUUACUCAGCUAGAUAUGGGGAUCGAGUUGUUUCCUCUUUCUUAGAGGAUAUGUCCUAUAAGUUCUAAACUUAUUCUGCUUAAUGGAAAAAGGUGUCUCUCUUGGGAUCCAAGUUCGGAAAUUCGAUUGGUUGAUUUAUGGAAGGCUUAAAUGAAAGGUGGUAAAUCGAACGCCCACCUUUUUUUGGGAUGAUUUGUGGGUGGGUCUUGUCCUUCUUAGAGUUAUAUUUCACAUUUCAUAUCAGAAAAAAGGCAAAAGUUGGUGAGAUUUCCUUUUGGGAUGAUGAGAAUAUGUUUGGAAUAUGAAGUGGAAGAUUCUUUUGUUUGAUUAUGAACAGGAGUUGAUCAAUGAUCUUCUUCUGGCCGUUGAAGGAACUAUUUUUUCCUUGGUUCGCCUAUCAACAUAAAAGACCAUGGAAGAUAAGAAUAUUUCCAUUACAUGGAAAUGGUAUCUGGUGCUUUUAGAGGACAAUGUUUUGUUGAUGAUGGUUCUCGUUUUUGAGUUCUAGCUUGCUACUCAUUAGUGAAGUGACAAUUUGUUUGGAGUUUCAUUGUUUCCUUGUUUCUAAUUGCUUCUCGGUGUUAUUUGUAUUUCCUUUUGUUUUGACUUUUUUAGCAUUCUCUGCAUCUAUUUGUGCUCUUA